UGGGGAAUAUUGCACAAUGGAGGGAACUCUGAUGCAGCGACGCCGCGUGAACGAAGAAGGCUUUCGAGUCGUAAAGUUCUUUUAUAUGGGAAGAUAAUGACGGUACCAUAAGAAAAAGCCCCGGCUAACUACGUGCCAGCAGCCGCGGUAAUACGUAGGUGGCAAGCGUUGUCCGGAAUUAUUGGGCGUAAAGCGCGCGCAGGUGGUUUAGAAAGUCUGAUGUGAAAGCCCACGGCUCAACCGUGGAGGGUCAUUGGAAACUAAUAAACUUGAGUGCAGGAGAGAAAAGUGGAAUUCCUAGUGUAGCGGUGAAAUGCGUAGAGAUUAGGAGGAACACCGGUGGCGAAAGCGGCUUUUUGGCCUGCAACUGACACUGAGGCGCGAAAGCGUGGGGAGCAAACAGG
rnacentral:rRNA from 1 species